rnacentral:lncRNA from 1 species
CGCCGGAGCUCAAAACAACCGAUCGGGUUGUUACAAUAAAUUAAAAAUUUAGAAUAUGAUUUGAAUUUUUGUGGAUAUGAGUUGAACAUUUAGGAUAUGAAUUGAACCUUUAGGAUAUUAGUUUAUGUAUUGGAAUUUUAGUUUAUAAAUUGAAAUUUUAGGAUAUGACUUGAACAUUUGUGGAUAUGAGUUGAACCUUUAGGAUAUGAAAUUGAACCUUUAGGAUAUUAGUUUAUGUAUUGGAAUUUUAGUUUAUAAAUUGAAAUUUU